rnacentral:rRNA from 1 species
GAUUAUUGCUUUCGCUUCCGUCUUCUAUAAAGUUUUUUUAUCAGCUCAGGAUGAACGCUGGCGGCGUGCCUAAUACAUGCAAGUCGAGCGAAUGGAUUAAGAGCUUGCUCUUAUGAAGUUAGCGGCGGACGGGUGAGUAACACGUGGGUAACCUGCCCAUAAGACUGGGAUAACUCCGGGAAACCGGGGCUAAUACCGGAUAACAUUUUGAACCGCAUGGUUCGAAAUUGAAAGGCGGCUUCGGCUGUCACUUAUGGAUGGACCCGCGUCGCAUUAGCUAGUUGGUGAGGUAACGGCUCACCAAGGCAACGAUGCGUAGCCGACCUGAGAGGGUGAUCGGCCACACUGGGACUGAGACACGGCCCAGACUCCUACGGGAGGCAGCAGUAGGGAAUCUUCCGCAAUGGACGAAAGUCUGACGGAGCAACGCCGCGUGAGUGAUGAAGGCUUUCGGGUCGUAAAACUCUGUUGUUAGGGAAGAACAAGUGCUAGUUGAAUAAGCUGGCACCUUGACGGUACCUAACCAGAAAGCCACGGCUAACUACGUGCCAGCAGCCGCGGUAAUACGUAGGUGGCAAGCGUUAUCCGGAAUUAUUGGGCGUAAAGCGCGCGCAGGUGGUUUCUUAAGUCUGAUGUGAAAGCCCACGGCUCAACCGUGGAGGGUCAUUGGAAACUGGGAGACUUGAGUGCAGAAGAGGAAAGUGGAAUUCCAUGUGUAGCGGUGAAAUGCGUAGAGAUAUGGAGGAACACCAGUGGCGAAGGCGACUUUCUGGUCUGUAACUGACACUGAUGCGCGAAAAGACGGCC